AGAGUUUGAUCCUGGCUCAGAGCGAACGCUGGCGGCAGGCUUAACACAUGCAAGUCGAGCGGGCGUAGCAAUACGUCAGCGGCAGACGGGUGAGUAACGCGUGGGAACGUACCUUUUGGUUCGGAACAACUGAGGGAAACUUCAGCUAAUACCGGAUAAGCCCUUACGGGGAAAGAUUUAUCGCCGAAAGAUCGGCCCGCGUCUGAUUAGCUAGUUGGUGAGGUAAUGGCUCACCAAGGCGACGAUCAGUAGCUGGUCUGAGAGGAUGAUCAGCCACAUUGGGACUGAGACACGGCCCAAACUCCUACGGGAGGCAGCAGUGGGGAAUAUUGGACAAUGGGCGAAAGCCUGAUCCAGCCAUGCCGCGUGAGUGAUGAAGGCCCUAGGGUUGUAAAGCUCUUUUGUGCGGGAAGAUAAUGACGGUACCGCAAGAAUAAGCCCCGGCUAACUUCGUGCCAGCAGCCGCGGUAAUACGAAGGGGGCUAGCGUUGCUCGGAAUCACUGGGCGUAAAGGGUGCGUAGGCGGGUCUUUAAGUCAGAGGUGAAAUCCUGGAGCUCAACUCCAGAACUGCCUUUGAUACUGAGGAUCUUGAGUUCGGGAGAGGUGAGUGGAACUGCGAGUGUAGAGGUGAAAUUCGUAGAUAUUCGCAAGAACACCAGUGGCGAAGGCGGCUCACUGGCCCGAUACUGACGCUGAGGCACGAAAGCGUGGGGAGCAAACAGGAUUAGAUACCCUGGUAGUCC
rnacentral:rRNA from 1 species